UUGUUCGGAAUUACUGGGCGUAAAGGGCUCGUAGGUGGCCAACUAAGUCAGACGUGAAAUCCCUCGGCUUAACCGGGGAACUGCGUCUGAUACUGGAUGGCUUGAGGUUGGGAGAGGGAUGCGGAAUUCCAGGUGUAGCGGUGAAAUGCGUAGAUAUCUGGAGGAACACCGGUGGCGAAGGCGGCAUCCUGGACCAAUUCUGACACUGAGGAGCGAAAGCCAGGGGAGCAAACGGG
rnacentral:rRNA from 1 species